rnacentral:rRNA from 1 species
UACGUAGGGGGCAAGCGUUGUCCGGAAUCAUUGGGCGUAAAGCGCGUGUAGGCGGCUCGGCAAGUCUGGUGUGAAAACUGGAGGCUCAACCUCCAGCUGUCGCUGGAUACUGCCGGGCUUGAGUCCGGAAGAGGAGAGUGGAAUUCCUGGUGUAGCGGUGGAAUGCGCAGAUAUCAGGAGGAACACCAAUGGCGAAGGCAGCUCUCUGGUACGUGACUGACGCUGAGACGCGAAAGCGUGGGGAGCGAACAGG